UGUCAGCUGUUUUAUCAGCUGCAAGAAUUGCAAACUUAUAUAUUUUGCUAACCACCUGCAACACGCGGUCGUUCAGCACGCCUAGGUUACGCGCAGAACUAUGGCACAAGUCCACCGUUUGUUUUUGCGGAUUUGCCGCUAACACUGUUCAGCACAACCACGUUAACACGAGAUUUUCGCGCAGCGCUAUCGAAAGACGUCCGCUUCCACAAAUUUAAAACGGAAACACUGGCUUCCUCAAAAACUGCAAUUUACUCGUGUUUGUGAAAUGAGUCGGUAAAACCAGGUGGGAGCGUGGACAGAUCGUGAGGUAACUGUUAGAGACCCAUGAUCUAUCAAUUAGUAUAAUUAAGCUCACCGUAAUUGGACUAAUUCUUUUGUUUUUUGUUGCACAGCCUAUUAGUUUAUCGUAAUUUUGUGAAAAAUAAAAAAAUCAUUAAUUUACUAAAACAGCUAACCAGAUAUGGCAAAACACACAAACCUUUUGUAAUAAUUUUUCAUUUAUUUUGGUUUCAAUUUUUUCUUGGUUUUUUUUUUAUUUUCAUAUUUUUUUCGUUCUUUUGUUGGUUGUUGUUCGUCUUGGUUUGCUUACACUGUUUUAAGUUACCAUUUGUGUUUUCUGUUAUACUUAUACAUUAAUAAUAAACCAUUUUUACACAAUA